CAGAUUUUUAUGUUAAGUAAAGUGAGUUUUGGUUGAGUUAUAAGUAUCAUUAAAGAUUAUUAUUUUUGGAAGAAAAAAAUACGUUGAAAGCAGGCAUGCGACAGAGCAGACUAGGUUGGUGGGGGCUGCAUUUAUGGUAAUUCAAGUUACCUUUAUACAUAUUUUCCCACCUCAGAGCAAUCAGCUCUUUGAUUUAAUUGAAGAACCCGGG
rnacentral:lncRNA from 1 species